UACGGGGGGGGCAAGCGUUGUUCGGAAUUACUGGGCGUAAAGCGCACGCAGGCGGUCUGCGAAGUUUGGAGUGACAGUUGGUGGCUCAACCACAGAAUUGCCUUCGAUACUGUUUGGCUUGAGACCGGAAGAGGUUAGUGGAACUGCGAGUGUAGAGGUGAAAUUCGUAGAUAUUCGCAAGAACACCAGUGGCGAAGGCGGCUGACUGGCCCGAUACUGACGCUGAGGUGCGAAAGCGUGGGGAGCAAACAGG
rnacentral:rRNA from 1 species